rnacentral:rRNA from 1 species
UACGUAGGGGGCAAGCGUUGUCCGGAAUUAUUGGGCGUAAAGAGCGCGUAGGCGGUCCGAUAAGUCGGCUGUGAAAGUCAGGGGCUCAACCCUUGAAAGCCGGCCGAUACUGUCGGGCUAGAGUCCGGAAGAGGCGAGUGGAAUUCCUGGUGUAGCGGUGAAAUGCGCAGAUAUCAGGAGGAACACCAAUGGCGAAGGCAGCUCGCUGGGACGGUACUGACGCUGAGACGCGAAAGCGUGGGGAGCAAACAGG